GUUAUCGGCUGCUCUCGAGGGCAGAGAGGUCCAGCGUUCCUGUGUUUAGGUAUUUGAGCUGCCUUAAGAGGCUAGGUCAAUUCUCACUGGUGUCUUCAGGGCUUUAGGCCUUCUGAACAAGCAGGAGGAAGCACGACUUUGUAGAGCUUUGGAAAUCUCAACGGACUUCAGGGCCAUCCCCUUUGGCAGGAGAGAGCCCCACUGGAGGCGAGCAGGGUGCCGUGCGGGCCUCUGCUGGGCCCAGGCAUGUACGGACGUUGUGAGGGCCACAGGACACAGAUCGGUCUUGGUUCACAACUGGUGUCGAUGGCCACGCAGCAUUUCUGCCAGAUUCUGUGGCCAAAAACUUACCCGUGGACAUUGAGGGUGAUGCAUUUCUGCUCCAAGACGUCUGUGGACUCAGCUGGAGGGAUGGAAAGGAUGUGGAGCCUCUUCACUCCUGGCCUGGCCUUGGACCUGCUGUGCAGCCUCUCAGUGGCACCAGGGCCCCCUUGUGUCACAGCAGUCUCGGGUUCGUGGCACUGCCUCAGGAUGUCCAGGCUUCAUGAUGUCCAGGCUCCCCUGGCAUGGCGACCUCAGAAGUGAGGGUGAACGCUGAGUUAUUCACGGGAGUCAAGAAACCACACGCAGCCCAAAGUGACGUUUGUUUCCCUGAAAUGAUUUGUGUGUGUUCACCUUAAAAUGCAACUCAGUAAAACAGGGACACUAGCAGCCCCCACAUCCGAUCACAGUGGCCUGAAGGUUAAAGGCAACGGCGGCACGAGACGUACAGUAAGAGCUCUGAGCAGGGAGAGCAGGGAGCUGCCCAGGGAGUUCCACCACCAUCUCCCAUCUGGCCGCCGAGGAAACCGAGGCUCAUGGUGACCUGGCCAGAAAAUGAGCCACGGAGACACCAGGAGAGGCAGGAGACCAUCCUCCUUGCACAAAACCCAUUCCCUUGGAUGCUGUCCUCAGCGAGGGUGGCUGAGGGCCAACCAGGGGGCCCACCCGCAGAGUGGCAGAGGAGGUCCAUGGCGGCUGCCAGGGCCAGCUGGUAGUACCCGGCUGCAUCAAACGGGUCCUGAAGGGGACAGGCCAUGCUCAGCAAAAGGGGGACUCGGAGCCCGUCUUCCCAGAGGCCGUUCCUGUCUCCAGGUCAUUCCACAUGUCCAGCCAAUGCUGGCUCACCCCAUGAGCCCCGAAGCCUGUGACACUGCUGUGGUCUCAGCUGCAGGAGGUGGGGAUGACCCUGACACCCCUGGAAGCCUUCCUGAGUGUCCCUACGCCCCACUCACCCCAAGCCUCCUGCCCCAGUGCCACCCUCUCUGCAGGCAGUGGCUGCUUUCCCCAUGGGCUGAGGUCAGGGCAGAUCCUGCCUGCUCUGACAGUUCCAUGCAGGACUCGUGGCUCCAAGCCACAGCAGGGGCACAGCGUUGAGUGACCCAGGCUCCCCUCUGGCCCCUGUCCAAACUGACCAUUUCCAGGCCCUCCACGGGACAGGCCAGGUACAAAACCAUCUCACAGGUGUCCUCCCUGGCAAUGAUCCCUGAAAUAUUGAUGGAGUGUGACUCCCCAGACAUCCACUCCUGUUUUCAAUGCAUCUUUGGCUCAAACUCACCAUCCCUGGGUUGGGAUGCCGUCUCCCAGACCUCCUCCUUGACCCUCCCAUCCCCCACCCGGCACCUCUUCCACAUGGGGGUCACCCAAGGAACCUCUCUAAGACCCAUGCCUGGCCUGUUCCUCUUUGCCAUCUCAAGAUGGCUCCCAGGGCCAAUGAGAAAGUCCAAGACGCAGCAGUCCAUUCCCUCACUGCCCCGCCCCACACACAGAGCAGGGGCGUGAGAAGGUCCCGAGUCACCGCCACUGCUCAUCCAAUGGCCCCCGCCCAGCCGAACACUGGACUCUGUGCUGGGUGUGUGGCUGAGCCUAACGUCCUUGAUCCCAGUCUGAGGGACCUGGGAGUGAACACUGACCACACAGGGUGGCCCGGGCUGUGCCAGAGGGAAGCCCAGGAGACCCCAGACUCAGCCGGGGAUGGAAGGCAAAGGCUUCCUGAAGGGGUGGGGGCUUCCCAACUAAACAGGAAGGAGCCAGCCAAUG
ensembl:lncRNA